rnacentral:rRNA from 1 species
CGUUCUGUAAGCCUGUGAAGGUGCGUUGUAAAGCGUGCUGGAGGUAUCAGAAGUGCGAAUGCUGACAUAAGUAACGAUAAAACGAGUGAAAAACUCGUUCGCCGGAAGACCAAGGGUUCCUGUCCAACGUUAAUCGGGGCAGGGUGAGUCGGCCCCUAAGGCGAGGCUGAAAAGCGUAGUCGAUGGGAAACGGGUUAAUAUUCCCGUACUUGGAUAAACUGCGAUGUGGGGACGGAGC